UAUAGCCAAGGCCCAUCAUGUCCCCUUUGCUUCCUCAGUGCAUGCCAGCUCCCACAUGGCUAUUUGGUAUUGUGAAUGAUACGGCCCAGCAGCCACGGGCCAAAGGACAUGCUCUUAAACACCCAGGUCCUGCUCUGAGUAACCUCAAACAAUCCCAUGACACAUUCUCUGGGAGCACCACUCAGAGCGUGUCCCCACUCCAGCAGCAGGUACAGAGAGACAAGAUCAAUCAGCCAAUGGCAGAGUUGGGAAGAGAGCACGCGUGACUAAGAUGCUCUAGGGACUUUGGGGAUGAAAACUGCUAUACUAAUAAAGCUGACUUGAAUAGAAUUUCAGCUAAGAAAUUCAGCAGGACUCCAGUUCCUGAAUAUGUUGUACAUGCACCAUUAUUUAAAAAAUUCUAAAUCUAUAUGCAUAAUAAUCAAUGAAUCUUUGUACAUAGACAGUCAUUCAAUAAAACCCUGGUUAAACUGUUCUUUUUAGAUUAAAUGCUUAGUUAUUUUAGAGUUCACAAAAGGUGCCAGUCUAUUUGACAGCCCUGGAGAAUUGUAUCAGACAUAAUAUACCUGAAGCAAACAGUUACAGUACCAAUAAUGGCAAGUACCCUGAUUAUCCUGCCCUAAUUUGUAAAAUCUAUCAUGUCUCCCUUCUAACAAAUAUCCCCGAUUGACUCAGUUUCAGACUUUCCCAACCCUAGAAGUUCUAUGUGGUUCCAGAUAUCUGCCUCAAACCUCACAGGUAUUAGGCUCUGAUCCUGCACUGAGAACUGCAUACCAGGUGGACCCUGACAGCUGAGUGGGGAAAGACAAUGGGUCUCUGUGCCAACACAGGGUCUACCUACAUAGUUUCUCAAAAAGGCCUUACUUUAUAGUGGGCCUUUCAAAAUACUAUACCCUGUAGAGCUCUUGCUUAACCCUCAAGUAUGACAUUUGGAGCAGUGCUGAAGAGGUCGUCAUCCUGCAAUAAGCUAAUUAGGGUGGACAAAAGGUGGAUCAGCCUGGCAAACUUGCUGUACAUGGAAGUUUUCAAGAGGAGUCCAUUUUAAAUGUUUGUUUAAAGGUAUUACUGACU